AUGAUUUCUUUUUUUUUUUUCUUUUUUUUUUUGGCCACACCUGAGGCAUUCGGAAGUUCCCUGCCCAGGGAUCAAACCUGUGACACAGCAGUGACAAUGCCCAAUCCUAAACCGAUAGGCCACCAGGGAACUGCUAAACUGCCAUUAUUAAACGGGAUUCGAAGUGCAUGCUGUUCUGAAAACAGGGGAUCAUCAGGCAUCCUGAACCAGGAGAACAGGGCUCUCGCUGGAACUGCACCCAUCACCGCUGUGGAGCCGGGGCCUCGCUUCUCACAAAGGGCUUCCAGACCACAGAUGAGCACAGUAGACUACUCUGAGGGGUGAGUUUGACUGGGGCACUCCCCAACAGUCUUAACAAGCUCUCAGAACUGCACUCACCUACGGUCCUGUGACCCAAAACCUGGGUUCAAAAACUGGGUUCACCUCCGUGGGGGUUGAGCUAAGACACAACCUAGCCAAAGACUGGGAGAAGGAAGGAUUUGUUAUUCCUCGUAGCAAGUUAAGGAGACCACCAGGGAUCUUUCCCAAAGUAGUGUUACCCUGAGCAGCAAAAUUGGGGAAGUUUUCAGCUGAGGGUACGUGCAUAUUCAUGAAGGGGCCUGAACUGAGGAGAAUUCGGCAAAAAAUUGGGGCCGAGGUCCACAGAGUCUCAACUUUUGUUGCUUGAAGUCAGGAGAAUCAACAUCAUCCUUCUGUCUUCCACCUGGGUGGGGGCCUUGGCUCCUGCAGAACUCAGAGAUAUAUUAGUAUGUGUUUCCCUUGAGGAAGAGCCAGGACUCUGCUUUGGGGCUGCAUU
rnacentral:lncRNA from 1 species